rnacentral:rRNA from 1 species
CUUGCCAGGGAACUACGAGCCCCAGCUUAAAACCCAAAGGACUUGGCGGUGCUUUAGUCCCCCCUAGAGGAGCCUGUUCUAGAACCGAUAACCCCCGUUAAACCUCACCCUUUCUUGUUAAUCCCGCCUAUAUACCGCCGUCGUCAGCUUACCCUGUGAAGGUCUUACAGUGAGCUCAAUUGGUAUAACCUAAAACGUCAGGUCGAGGUGUAGCGUACGAGAGGGGAAGAAAUGGGCUACAUUCACUGACUCAGUGUACACGAACAAUAUCUUGAAAGAAAUAUUCAAAGGAGGAUUUAGCAGUAAGGGGAGAAUAGAGUGCUUCCCUGAAACCGGCCCUGAAGCGCGCACACACCGCCCGUCACUCUCCCCAAAAAUAAACUUAAAAGUAUUUAAAACAAUUUUAAAAUAAAGGGGAGGCAAGUCGUAACAUGGUAAGUGUACCGGAAGGUGCGCUUGGAAAAAU